rnacentral:rRNA from 1 species
UACGGGGGGGGCAAGCGUUGUUCGGAAUUACUGGGCGUAAAGAGCGCGCAGGCGGUCGUGCAAGUCGCGUGUGAAAGCCCCCGGCUCAACUGGGGAGGGUCACGCGAUACUGCUCGACUCGAAGGCAGGAGAGGGAAGUGGAAUUCCCGGUGUAGUGGUGAAAUGCGUAGAUAUCGGGAGGAACACCAGUGGCGAAGGCGACUACCUGGCCUGUUCUUGACGCUGAGGCGCGAAAGCUAGGGGAGCAAACGGG